GUGAUAUCCAAUAGGACUUCAUAUCUCUCUCUCUGUCCAGUGGGGUAUAGGCCCUGUGAUAUCCAAUAGGACUUCAUAUCUCUCUCUCUCUGUCCAGUGGGGUAUAGGCCCUGUGAUAUCCAAUAGGACUUCAUAUCUCUCUCUCUCUCUCUCUCUCUGUCCAGUCAGGUAUAGGCCCUGUGAUAUCCAAUAGGAUUUCAUAUAUAUAUAUAUAUAUAU
rnacentral:lncRNA from 13 species